CGAACGCUGGCGGCGUGGAUGAGGCAUGCAAGUCGAACGGUACUUCAGUGGUAGCAAUAUCAAGGAAGUGCAGUGGCGAAAGGGCGAGUAACGCAUGGGCAACGUGCCUUCCAGAUGGGGAUAACUCGGCGAAAGCUGAGCUAAUACCGAAUGUGAUCGCUCCGGGCAUCCGGGGCUAUUCAAAGCCGGGGACCGCAAGGCCUGGCACUGGAAGAUCGGCCCAUGUCCUAUCAGCUAGUUGGUGAGGUAACGGCUCACCAAGGCUUACGGGUAGCUGGUCUGAGAGGAUGGUCAGCCGCACUGGGACUGGAGACACUGCCCAGACUCCUACGGAGCUGCAGUCGAGAAUCAUUCGCAAUGGCGCAAGCCUGACGAUGCGACGCCGACGUGCAGGAUGAAGGUCUUCGGAUUGUAAACUG
rnacentral:rRNA from 1 species